CCCAGCUUUCUCCACAGGGUGCAAAACAUGGUUGCCAGGCAGCUCCUAAGCUUUACCUUUUGAAGCCUCUGUCACCUGACCUAAUGCUUGCCCCUAUCCCAGGUUAAAACUCCCAAAGAACAGCUCUGAUUGGCCCAGAUCAGGGCAGAUGCCUUAGUCUCAGGCCAAUUGGCAGUGGUGUUGAUGAGGAGUGGGGGAGGGUCUGUGUCAUACAAAAUGGCUGUUCCUGCACUAGGUAUUGGUUUGAGGGACUAUAGUUCUCAUAAAGGAAUGGUGGGAGGACAACCUCACAGGUGCCCCAACCUCACUCUUUUUCUUUGUUCUUUGUUCUUUUUUUUUUUUUUUUUUUUUUUUGAGAUGGAGUCUUGCUCUAUUGGCAGGCUGGAGUGCAGUGGUGCGACCUCAGCUCACUGCAACCUCCGCCUCCCGGAUUCAAACAAUUCUCCUGCCUCAGCCUCCCGAGUAGCUGGGACUACAGGUGCGUGCCACCACACCCGGCUAAUUUUUGUAUUUUUAGUAGAGACGGGGUUUCACCAUAUUGGCCAGGAUGGUCUUGAUCUCUUGACCUCGUGAUCCACUCGCCUCGGCCUCCCAAAGUGCUGGGAUUACAGGCGUGAGCCACCACGC
rnacentral:lncRNA from 1 species